rnacentral:rRNA from 1 species
UGGGCGCUGGAGAAUUGAGGGGGGCUGCUCCUAGUACGAGAGGACCGGAGUGGACGCAUCACUGGUGUUCGGGUUGUCAUGCCAAUGGCACUGCCCGGUAGCUAAAUGCGGAAGAGAUAAGUGCUGAAAGCAUCUAAGCACGAAACUUGCCCCGAGAUGAGUUCUCCCUGACUCCUUGAGAGUCCUGAAGGAACGUUGAAGACGACGACGUUGAUAGGCCGGGUGUGUAAGCGCAGCGAUGCGUUGAGCUAACCGGUACUAAUGAACCGUGAGGCUUAACCUUACAACGCCGAAGCUGUU